rnacentral:rRNA from 1 species
AUUGAACGCUGGCGGCAGGCUUAACACAUGCAAGUCGAGCGAGCGGCGGACGGGUGAGUAAUGUCUGGGCAACUGCCUGAUGGAGGUGGAUAACUACUGGAAACGGUAGCUAAUACCGCAUACCAUCAGAUGUUCCCAGAUGUGAUUAGCUAGUAGGUGGGGUAAUGGCUCACCUAGGGGACGAUCCCUAGCUGGUCUGAGAGGAUGACGAGCAACACUGGAACUGAGACACGGUCAAGACUCCUAGGGGAGGCAGCAGUGGGGAAUAUUGCACAAGGGGCGAAAGCCGGAUGAAGCCAUGCCGCGGGUGGGAAGAAGGCCUUCGGGUUGUAAAGCACGUUCAGAGAGGAGGCGUUACUCGCAGAAGAAGCACCGGCUAACUCCGUGCCAGCAGCCGCGGUAAUAC